UACGGGGGGGGCAAGCGUUGUUCGGAAUUACUGGGCGUAAAGGGCUCGUAGGUGGCCAACUAAGUCAGACGUGAAAUCCCUCAGCUUAACUGGGGAACUGCGUCUGAUACUGGAUGGCUUGAGUUUGGGAGAGGGAUGCGGAAUUCCAGGUGUAGCGGUGAAAUGCGUAGAUAUGCGGAGGAACACCGAUGGCGAAGGCAAUCCCCUGGACCUGUACUGACGCUCAUGCACGAAAGGCGUGG
rnacentral:rRNA from 1 species